rnacentral:rRNA from 1 species
GACGAACCGUCCUAACGUUGUUCGGAAUCACUGGGCUUAAAGGGCGCGUAGGCGGGUUCCCAAGUCGGUGGUGAAAUCUUUCGGCCCAACCGGAAAACAGCCGCCGAUACUGGGAGUCUUGAGGGAGGUAGGGGUCGAUGGAACUUCCGGUGGAGCGGUGAAAUGCGUAGAGAUCAUGAGGAAGACCAGUGGCGAAGGCGGGUCUCUGGACAGUUCCUGACACUGAGACACGAAGGCCAGGGGAGCAAACGGGG